GAGAGGUGUGGAAUAUCACAGUAAUGAGUGGUGAGAGAUGUGGAAUAUCACAGCAAUGAGUGGUGAGAGGUGUGGAAUAUCACAGUAAAGAGUGGUGAGAGAUGUGACAUAUCACAGUAAUGAGUGGUGAUAGGUAUGGAAUAUCACAGUAAUGAGUGGUGAGAGGUUUGGAAUAUCACAGUAAUCUGUGGUGAUAGGUGUGGAAUAUCACAGUAAUGACUGGUGAGAGGUGUUCUUCAUGGAAUAUCACAGUAAUGAGUGGUGAGAGGUGUGGAAUAUCACAGUAAUGAGUAGUGAGAGGUGUGGAAUAUCACAGUAAUGAGUGGUGAGAGAUGUGGAAUAUCACAGUAAUGAGUGGUGAGAGGUGUGGAAUAUCACAGUAAUGAGUGGUGAGAGAUGUGGAAUAUCACAGUAAUGAGUGGUGAGAGUAGUGGAAUAUCACAGUAAUGAGUGGUGAGAGAUGUGGAAUAUCACAGUAAUGAGUGGUGAGAGAUGUGGAAUAUCACAGUAAUGAGUGGUGAGAGUAGUGGAAUAUCACAAUAAUGAGUGGUGAGAG
rnacentral:lncRNA from 1 species